GACGAACGCUGGCGGCGUGCUUAACACAUGCAAGUCGAACGAGAAUUUAUGGAACAAGGAUUCGUCCAAGUGAAAUAGAGGACAGUGGCGGACGGGUGAGUAACGCGUGAGGAACCUGCCUUUCAGAGGGGGACAACAGUUGGAAACGACUGCUAAUACCGCAUGACAUAUAGAUGUCGCAUGGCAUUUAUAUCAAAGAUUUAUCGCUGAAGGAUGGCCUCGCGUCUGAUUAGCUAGUUGGUGAGGUAACGGCCCACCAAGGCGACGAUCAGUAGCCGGACUGAGAGGUUGAACGGCCACAUUGGGACUGAGAUACGGCCCAGACUCCUACGGGAGGCAGCAGUGGGGAAUAUUGGGCAAUGGGCGCAAGCCUGACCCAGCAACGCCGCGUGAAGGAAGAAGGCUUUCGGGUUGUAAACUUCUUUUGUCAGGGACGAGUAGAAGACGGUA
rnacentral:rRNA from 1 species